AUAUAUUUGAAGGUUCACAAUUAUAACUUCCAAUACAAAACGUUACUAAAUUCCAGCUCUAUAAAACAACAUGUUACUUCAAGCUACUACUCCAAUAUAACUGACCAAUGCAAUACAUGAAGUUUCUCACAAGAUCCAGCUAUAAACAUGUUCUUAAUUUAUGUAAGGCAUUGAUUAAUGGUCUUAGAUUAUUUGGAUAAACUAU
rnacentral:lncRNA from 1 species